rnacentral:sRNA from 1 species
GCUAGGCGUGGUGGUGCACACCUGCAAUCCCAGCAGCUCAGGAGGCUGAGGCAGGAGGAUCACAAGUUCAAAGUCAGCCUCAGCAACAGCAAGACACUGAGCAGCUCAGUGAGAACUUGUCUUUA